UAAAGCGUUCUGUUAAGUCAGAUAACGAACGAGACCCUCAUCUCUAUUUGCUACCCGUCUCUCCGGAGGCGGCGCACUAUAGGGAGACCGCUUGGUGUUAAACCAGAGGAAGGCGAGGGCAACGACAGGUCAGUAUGCCCCGAAUGUCCUGGGCUACACGCGCGCUACAAAGGACGGGACAAUGGGAAGCCAGGCCGAGAGGCCGAGCUAACCCGAAACCCGUUCAUAGUUCGGAUCGAGGGCUGUAACUCGCCCUCGUGAAGCUGGAUUCCGUAGUAAUCGUGUUUCAAUAUAGCACGGUGAAUAUGCCCCUGCUCCUUGCACACACCGCCCGUCAAACCAUC
rnacentral:rRNA from 1 species